rnacentral:rRNA from 1 species
GACGUAGGGGGCGAGCGUUGUCCGGAAUUACUGGGCGUAAAGAGCACGUAGGCGGGACUACAGGUCAGGUGUGAAAGACCGCGGCUCAACCCGGGAAGUGCAUUCAAAACUGGCAAGCUAGAGUAUGGUAGAGGGUGGUGGAAUUUCCUGUGUAGCGGUGAAAUGCGUAGAUAUAGGAAGGAACACCAGUGGCGAAGGCGACUGACUGGACUGACCCUGACGCUGAGGUGCGAAAGCGUGGGUAGCAAACAGG